AAGCCCCGGACACCUUUCAGUGACUUUUCCAAAUUUGCACUUUGGUAUUAUCAGAGCU
rnacentral:tRNA from 1 species